rnacentral:lncRNA from 1 species
GGGGCACUAACGGCACGUAAAAUCUCCCCUCCGCAAGCCACGGCGGCUGUGGAGGGAAAGCGCAAAGAUGGCGCCCACCAUUUCCCCCCGGGGGGAACCUCAACAGGCUUUGAGACUCCAGUCGAACCGGGUACCUGCCCCUCACGUCCUCGCUCCAAGACGAGAAAGGAGCCUCAGCCACGCGGAGUCCCGGCUGCCCCGUCGCCGCUUCUGCGCUGGACCCGGCCGGUUUCUUUGCCCUCUGAAACUGGCAUCCGCUCUGCAAAAGACAUGAUGCUCUUUUUUGUGGACAUAAGUUCAGCUUUCAAGGAACUGAUUGCCCCAUACGUAACAUCGUUCCAUCUGAGGCUCCCCAUGUGUUCUAUCACCCUCUUGCAGAAGUGCCUCUCAACUUUUCCUAAGCGUUGCUGGUAUGGUCUCGGCUGUCAUUUCCUCAGCACCAUCUGUAGACUGGUAUUUUGUGGGAAUUUGUAUGGAUUCCAAAGUGAGAGAGAGCAGAAGUAGGUGGAGCAGCAGGCAGAGGGAGAAGGAGAAGCAGCUGAGCAAGGAUGGAUCCCAGGACCCUGAGAUCAUGACCCGAGCCAAAGGCAGAGGCUUAACCCACUGAGCCACCCAGGUACUCCAAGUUACUCCCUUUUGAGAUGCAAAAGACAGUUGGCCAUUUACUGUUGGUUGGUUGUCUUUUACAUCUUGAUUAGUGUAGAUUCUUCAUAUAUUCUGAUUAUGGGCUUCUUG